CAUAAACGUGGGGCCUGCGUCAGUACCCAGGGUCAGGGUCAGCAGGGGCCCAGCAUGAGGCAGCAGAAGUGCAGGCCUGGGCUGGCACAUGGGACUGAAGCAGCUGGCGGGGGAGUGCGGAGAGGUGACGGCAAGGAGUGGCAGUAACCAAUUAUCUCUAUUUACAUUCAUUCCUAUGGGCAAACAGGUUUCACUUAAGCAGAACCGCACUAAUGCUCAGUUUUUCUGGAACCCAUUACGAGCGCUAAACAGGAGUUGCCUGUACAAUCAUUUUUCAGCUGAUAUGAUCAUUUUGAGCUUCCAAUAUGAUGAUUUCAUGUUUAAGACCUGGCAGCAUUGAGGCAGCUGCUUCUCGCAAGCAGCCGUUCCAUCAGCCCAGCCCACACAUCCAGCCCGCUUGUCUCUUUUGACCCUCUACCCCAUUUUUCCUUUCUAUGCCCCUCAGGGUCCUUUUGGAGACCCCAGGAGAUUCCAUGGGGUCCUCUCCAGACCACUCCCUGGUUUGCCAGGUCUGCAUCCUUCCAUAUCCGCUUCCUCUUCUGUAAAGACAUCUGAGAUAACCAGGGCAAAAGCAGCUGGUUCAACUUGUUUCCAUCUCUCGUUCCUUGUUUCGCUUUGCCCUCUUCCCACCAGCCAUCCAAGCUCACCUGCCUUUGUUGAACAUGGGCCAGAUCUGUGAGCGCAAAACCUGGCCUGUGUUUCUGGAUGCUCUACUUCAAGAGAACAAAACCCCUGCCUGGUCAGAAUAUGAUGGGCCUGCACCACUAUCAAUUAGGUCUAGAAUCACUGUAGUCCAAACCGCUCAGAUGGAGUGCUCUCUCCUGCCACAACUUGCUGUUAUCACAAGUUCUUGUGAGCUGGAGGAAAUGGAAUGAUGGUAGGCCGAUCUUCUCAUGGGGCUCCAGCCUCCCCUUUGCCCCACCCUAAACACAUCAGAUGUACUUCAGCAGGUAUGUUUGGUGUCUCUGCCUCUCCUCAAUUUCUGUGGACUCUGCACAGCUCUUAGUUUGAAUGCAGGCUGAUUAUGAAGGGAUAACUCCACACAAAACUCAAAAUAAUGGCUGUUCCUGGGGCGCAAUCUCAAUCCCACACAAAAGAAAGAAAAUAUAACAGACUAACAAAACACAGUCCAGGGCCUCCUGCUGCCCUGAGGACAACGCUCCUGUACCUCUGGUACUCUUUUGGUACAAGUUCCCCAAAUCUCUGGUUAGUUCUUAUUUUCUCCUUUUUUCUUCAGGGGUCCAGUUCUCCUCCCCUUUGAUGCAGUUAGGUACGGGUUGUAACUGAGUCCUUAAUACAGCCCGAGGAGGAAAAUCUCACUCAAAAAUGGGUUAAUUAAGCAUCACAAAUACUUAAUUAACCUGAUGCGGCCAGGAGAACCCCUGAUCACCUGAUGGCGGACUACAGUGCUCUGGGUGGCGUGCUGAAGGAGUUUGGUGCGCAGGUGGUUUUCUCUUCCAUCCUACCAGUGACCAGACGAGGAAGACGGCAGGAGAACUGCAUCAGAGAGACCAACUGGCGGCUUCGGCAGUGGUGUCUCGAGGCAGGCUUCGGAUUCCUGGACAAUGACCCGCACAUCACGACGAGGGACGUGCUCAGCUGGGAUGGGCUUCACCUGUCCCCCAAAGGGCUGUCCAACUUACAAGUACAGGCUGAACCAGUGGGGCUACAGGCCCUGCAGGAUGCCCCAAGAUCUGAAGAGACCUUCAACUGUGGCAAGUGUGAACAGUGGUAAGACUGCAGAGAUGCAAAGCAACCCAUAUCCACCUUCCCAACCUCACCAAAAGCCUGAGUCUUGUUAGAAAGGAAAGUGGCUGGAGCAACUGCAGAAUGUGCCAGUCUGGAACUCCCAGCCACACUGUGUUGAAGCGUGCUGUGUACUGGAUAUUGCUUUCCACUCAGAAAGACUCUGUGUCUACAGUAACAUGAUUCAUGUUUGUAAAUACAGUACAGUGAAACCUCUCUUAAAUAACUACUCAAGGGACCCACAAAAGUCAGCUGGCAAAUGGAAGUGGUCUUUAACCAAAGGACAAACAAAAUUUGUCCGAAACCAGGGGGUACUUUAAAACACUUAGAGUGUGACUAAGUGGUUGGAACAGCACCUUCUCAGUCAUCAGAUUUUCUCUGCAUGUAUUUGCCAGGUCAUAUCUUCUUGCUUUGACAAACAUAUUCACCUUACUGAUUUUUACUUCUGUUAUCAUUGCAGAGCUAAUGCAGCAAUGGGACCAUUUUCUGGAAUCUUUUUGUCUUAAGUGCUACCCACAGAAUAGUUCUAAUAGCAAAAUCUUUCUUGUUGCUUAUGUCAAAGACAAAAAGAACACAAGUUAUUUUUUGAGGUCUAAGAUUUAAAUAUUUCUUCAGCUGAUGUGGACUGCAGUUCCCCCACUAUCAAAACAAAGUUUCAGUUCUCCCUACUCAGUAGGGAUCCUGGUUUUCUCUGUUUAAAACCCAAAUUCUCUGAUUAAAACCCCCAAAUCCAUGGUUUUCCAUGAAACACCACUAUAUAUAUCAGUAUCAGUUAGACACAAUUUUUUAUUGAUAUAAUUACAGAUUUAAAGCAAUUUGGAAGCUCACCAGUGCCUCAAUCAUUAUAAUAAAAUAAAUUCUAAAUACCUAUAUAUUUUGGCAUUUCAUUUUGGGGUUUUUUAUUAUAGAAAAAUCAGAGCUCCCCAUGCCUCAUUCGCUCAGACCAUGAGUCCAGUUGCAGCUGUCCCCCCUGUUGCUUUGUGGUGCUGAGCACCCCUGAUAUGCUAGUGCCCUGCCCAUGCCAUUGUCCCUCACUCCCAAGCCACAGUUCCCUGGCCCUGCUGGUGCCCCUCACUCCCAGCCCACAGCUCCCUGCUCCUCAGUUUGUGAGAAAGAGAGUGGGUAUGUGUGCACAUGCAACACGUGGGAGAGUUGUGAGGGGCACAGGCAAUGCAAAAGUGGGGGCAUGUGCCCCCUGAGAUUUCUGUACUCACAGCAGGGUGUGGGGCUGUAGCGGG